AAUAGAUACCCAGGUAGUCCUAGCCGUAAACGAUACUCGCUAGGUGUCGGCCACGGUGCGACCGUUGUCGGUGCCGUAGGGAAGCCGUGAAGCGAGCCACCUGGGAAGUACGGCCGCAAGGCUGAAACUUAAAGGAAUUGGCGGGGGAGCACCACAACGGGUGGAGCUUGCGGUUUAAUUGGAUUCAACGCCGGAAAUCUUACCGGGACCGACAGCAAUAUGAAGGCCAGGCUGAAGACUUUGCCGGAUUAGCUGAGAGGUGGUGCAUGGCCGUCGUCAGUUCGUACUGUGAAGCAUCCUGUUAAGUCAGGCAACGAGCGAGACCCACGCCCACAGUUGCCAGCGUACUCUCUGGAGUGACGGGUACACUGUGGGGACCGCCGCUGCUAAAGCGGAGGAAGGAAUGGGCAACGGUAGGUCAGUAUGCCCCGAAUAUCCCGGGCUACACGCGAGCUACAAUGGUUGGUACAAUGGGUAUCUACCCCGGAAAGGGGACGGGAAUCUCCUAAAACCAAUCUUAGUUCGGAUUGAGGGCUGCAACUCGCCCUCA
rnacentral:rRNA from 1 species